ensembl:lncRNA
GGGGGCACCUCCUACAGGCCCCAAAUACAAUACGUAUUUCAUGUUUCUGUUGGUGGCAGCAGGUGGCCUAAAGAUCAGAAAGAUACAGUCUCUUCCCUGCCCUCAUUUUGCCUAUUACAGUGAAAAACUGGGCAGAGCAGAGAGGAAGAAAGGCAGCAGUAGGCAUGGGAAUAAGCAGUAAAGAUAUAAAAUUGCUCAGGUCUACUGUGACCACCCUCAGCUGCAGUACAAUUGCAGCCUGAGGACUGCUACAAAAGCUGUGAAUAGUUGCUCUGUCUCUGUGGUAGCAGAUGGUGGGGAUUAUGGUUCUCUCAAGUACUGAUAGUUUCCCUUGAGCAACACCUUUUUUUUUUUUUUUUAUCUCCCCUCCCCCCUCCCCCCCCCCCCCUUUUUUUUUUCUUUACAGAAGGCAGACAUUUAUUUUAAAUGUUCAAAAAUGUAACCUCUGUUUCAACUUUGAAGGAAAGUGGCAGAGGGGUCAUCUCGUUAUCUUGUAUGAAUAUGACUGGAGGUGAUAUUUGCUGUGUGGAGACUUGUUCAUAUAUUCCUUCUUCCUUCUGCGCUCCCUCAUGAGUUUUCUUGCACUUUAGAAACAGAGAAAAAAAAAAAGGAAUUAAACAAUAUCAGUGACUGGAAGUGGGAUUGUGAAAUAAUCCUCACCACAAUUAACAGCCUGGGACAACUGUAAAUUUUUCCAGCAAAGAAAAAGGCGACAAAACAAGAAGAAAUUGGCUUCAUAAAAAUCCUUAUGGUAGCCUUAGUUCUCAGUUGUUUAAACCACUGAAAUUUUGAUGAGAGAAUGAAGAUGUCACAAAACGUUGGGGAUCAGCAGACUUAUGGAUCGUCAUUCUUGUAGCAGCACCUGAAAUGAUGGGGUCUCCUUCAGAGCUACAUGAUGGUGCAGCUUUGCCAGUGGACUGGGAGAAGAUGGCACCUGAAGUGCAUUUCAUGUUCCAGUUGGGAGAAAAUUCAGAACAGAGAAGAAAGGAAUGCAAGUAUACAUCUUUCAAAUCUGACACUGAUGAGUUAUUUAAAUCAAUACUUGCCUGUCAAAAAUUAAAUUCAUGAGGGAACUUUUAAGAACACGUUCUGCCAAAUGAGAGGACCUAUAGCUGCUAUCAUCCUUCAAGAAUGACACUUGAAUUUUAUCUAAUUGUAAUACUUCCAUGUUUAAUUACUAAGUGUAACAUCACAUGCUCAUCGACAAAUAAAGAUUAAAAAAAGCAUAAUUUGUCUGAAUUUUCUG